AUGCAGACAAUUCAAGUGAUAAAGAUGAAUUAUGUGAAGAACUUCAAGAGAACGACAUGGGUGACGAGCUUCAAGAGGAUGACAUAUAUGAUAAAGAGGGCAAUGAAGAUGAUGAUGAGUUUGACAAACUUGAAUGAAUUGGAUGUUGUUGUUUUAGACUUGUUCAUAAGCAUUAGACUUAAAGAAACUAUGUAUUACGUUAGGCAUUUUGUUUACCGGAUACAAUCUUGA